rnacentral:rRNA from 1 species
AUUGAACGCUAGCGGGAGGCUUUACACAUGCAAGUCGAACGAGUGGCGGACGGGUGAGUAAUAUAUCGGAACGUGCCCAGUAGCGGGGGAUAACUACUCGAAAGGGUGGCUAAUACCGCAUACUCUUGGAUGGGCCGAUAUCGGAUUAGCUAGUUGGUGGGGUAACGGCUCACCAAGGCGACGAUCCCUAGCUGGUCUGAGAGGAUGAACAGCCACACUGGGACUGAGACACGGCCCAGACUCCUACGGGAGGCAGCAGUGGGGAAUAUUGCACAAUGGGCGAAAGCCUGAUGCAGCCAUGCCGCGUGUAUGAAGAAGGCCUUAGGGUUGUAAAGUACUUUCAGUCGGGAGGCGUUACCGACAGAAGAAGCACCGGCUAACUCCGUGCCAGCCGCCGCGGUAAUUC